CUAAUUCCAGGUUUUCCGUUCUUCACGCAGGGUUUUAAAAUUCAGGCCUUAGUUAUGGACGACAUCACGAAUCUUGGCCGGUUGAGUCGAAAACAGAAUGUCGGAAUUGUUAUCCGUGAUGGACCCUUAAAUGCCAUUGGGGUUGC